CCUUAAGUGAAAUACAUGGUCAAGAUCUGAAGGCUGGAUUCAAAUUUCACCUCUGCUCCUUCCCAGCUGUGGCACUUUGGAAGAAGUACUUAACCACUGAAUGAAAUGCAGCUAGAGAGGCACAUGCCCCAUAGGAAGUUCACAAAGAUUAGAAGGUCUCCUGCACCUUGUGCUUGCAGCACCAGUAAAACUGCACCGGUUUUGGAGGCCUUGAAGCACCACGCACCCAGACACGCAAUUCUGCUCCAUAGAGAAAGCAUGUGUCUUCAGUGGUAAUCUACCUUAAAUGCUUUUUUGAAGCAAGAAGCAAACAGAUUACCAGGUAAGAUACUCAGAACAUUUACUCGAUAUUAUGGCAAAUGAAAAGGUAUAUGACUCAUUUGCUGUCCCCGAAUUCCUAGUCUGCUAAAUAUUCAGCAAGAAUUUUUCUAUAAGUAUAUUAAUGAAAGGCUUGUCAUGCUUAGGCCUCAAAGUAUCUCGACGGU
rnacentral:lncRNA from 12 species